GCACUUGCCUUGUGUUUCCGAUAAUGGUUGAAAGCGCCUCGAUUUAUACCGCGAAUACGAUGGAGAUAUCAAAGAAUUAUUUGCAAUGUCCAGUCCAGAACUUUAACUAUGAUUUCAAAUUAUUGCCCAAGAAAUAAAACAAAAGUUGAUUGCUACAUCACAGCCACAGAGGAGACACAGAGAUUCUUUAGAAAUCAGUGGGCUUCAGUGAAUACUGCAGUGUACUUACAUGCAGAAGCUAUUGUUAGGGAGAAGCAGGAAAUCAUAAAUUCUGUAUAGUUCACUAUAUGUUAAUACAUGAGCAGUAAUCUUU